rnacentral:rRNA from 1 species
UGCGCCCUUCAGGGGAAAAAUUUAUCGGAGUUGCAUGAGCCCAUGUCUGAUUAACUAGUUGGUGGGGUAAUGGCCUACCAAGGGGACGAUCAGUACCUGGUCUGAUAGGAUGAUCAGCCACACUGGAACUGAGACACGGCCCAGACUCCUACGUGACGCUCAGUGCUGAAUAUUGGACAAUGGGGGCAACCCUGAUCCAGCCAUGCGGGCGAGUGAUGAAGGCCCUAGGGUUGUGAGGCUCUUUCACCGGUGGAGAUAAUGAUGAUACCCGCAUAAGAAGCCCCUGCUAACUUCCCGCCGCCAGCCGCGGUCUUACGAAGGGGGCUAGCGUUGUUCGGAAUUACUGGGCGUAACGCGCUCGUAUGCGGAUCGGGUCACUUAGGGGUGAAUCCCGGCUCUCAACCCCGGAACUGCCUCUCUACUGCCGAUCUAGAGUUCGAGAGAGGGACUGGAAUUCCCACCGUAGAGCUGAAUUCAUAUAUAUCCAGAAGAACACCACUGAGAACGCGCUCACUGGCUCGAUACUGACGUAAGGUCGAACGUGAUAUCAACAGGAUUAAUACCUGGAGGCCACGCCGGCACGAUCGAGGUACCGUUGGCACUUUACCUGUCGCGGGGCUUUCAUCCCAUCAACUUCCCGCC